rnacentral:rRNA from 1 species
UACGAGGGAUGCAAGCGUUAUCCGGAAUUAUUGGGCGUAAAGCGUCCGCAGGUGGCUUUGUAAGUCUGUCGUUAAAGAAUGGAGCUUAACUCCAUACAGGCGAUGGAAACUACAAGGCUAGAGUUUGGUAGGGGUCACGGGAAUUCUUAGUGUAGCGGUGAAAUGCGUAGAUAUUAAGAAGAACACCAGCGGCGAAAGCGCGUGACUGGGCCAGUACUGACACUCAUGGACGAAAGCUAGGGGAGCGAAAGGG